rnacentral:rRNA from 1 species
GUCCACGCCGUAAACUAUGGGUGCUAGCCGUCGGAUAGCUUGCUAUUCGGUGGCGCAGCUAACGCAUUAAGCACCCCGCCUGGGGAGUACGGCCGCAAGGUUAAAACUCAAAGGAAUUGACGGGGGCCCCGCACAAGCGGUGGAGCAUGUGGUUUAAUUCGACGCAACGCGAAGAACCUUACCAGCUCUUGACAUUUACUGAUCGUUUCCAGAGAUGGAUUCAUCCCAGCAAUGGGCAGUAGGACAGGUGCUGCAUGGCUGUCGU